AGGUGACGAUGAUGGAUACUGACUCUGAUAUGGAACCUGAUAAACCUUCAAGAAAACGUAAACAUUGCACUGUUGAGACACACACAGCGGAUGAGCUCAAGUCAGCGAAUGGUCUUGGGGCAUCUCCAUCAUCAUCAAAUGUACAGGAAGGGUCCUCUCAAAGGAAGAAACAUAAUUUGGUGACGAUGAUGGAUACUGACUCUGAUAUGGAACCUGAUAAACCUUCAAGAAAACGUAAACAUUGCACUG